rnacentral:sRNA from 1 species
AUAAUAAUAAUAAUAAUAAUAAUAAUAAUAAUAAUAAGAAGAAGAAGAAGAAGAAGAAGAAGAAGAAGAAGGCUGGAUUUCUGUAGUCUCAGACCUAUACAGUUUUUACAGCAAUCCUACUGCUAUGGGUCCCUGACCACGAAGCCGGCCAAAUCAGAAAUAAUAAAUGUCCCUCAUCCUUCAGGCCUCCUUCUCCUCCUUGCCUU